ACGGGAGGCAGCAGUGGGGAAUAUUGCACAAUGGGGGAAACCCUGAUGCAGCGACGCCGCGUGAGUGAAGAAGUAUUUCGGUAUGUAAAGCUCUAUCAGCAGGGAAGAAAAUGACGGUACCUGACUAAGAAGCCCCGGCUAACUACGUGCCAGCAGCCGCGGUAAUACGUAGGUUGCAAGCGUUGUCCGGAUUUACUGGGUGUAAAGGGCGUGUAGGCGGAGCUGCAAGUCAGAUGUGAAAUCCCGGGGCUCAACCCCGGAACUGCAUUUGAAACUGUAGCCCUUGAGUAUCGGAGAGGCAAGCGGAAUUCCUAGUGUAGCGGUGAAAUGCGUAGAUAUUAGGAGGAACACCAGUGGCGAAGGCGGCUUGCUGGACGACAACUGACGCUGAGGCGCGAAAGCGUGGGGAGCAAACAGGAUUAGAUACCCUGGUA
rnacentral:rRNA from 2 species